rnacentral:rRNA from 1 species
AUUGAACGCUGGGGGCAUGCCUUACACAUGCAAGUCGAACGGUAACAGGUCUUCGGAUGCUGACGAGUGGCGAACGGGUGAGUAAUACAUCGGAACGUGCCCGAUCGUGGGGGAUAACGAAGCGAAAGCUUUGCUAAUACCGCAUAAGAUCUACGGAUGAAAGCAGGGGACCGCAAGGCCUUGCGCGAACGGAGCGGCCGAUGGCAGAUUAGGUAGUUGGUGGGAUAAAAGCUUACCAAGCCGACGAUCUGUAGCUGGUCUGAGAGGACGACCAGCCACACUGGGACUGAGACACGGCCCAGACUCCUACGGGAGGCAGCAGUGGGGAAUUUUGGACAAUGGGCGCAAGCCUGAUCCAGCCAUGCCGCGUGCAGGGUGAAGGCCUUCGGGUUGUAAACUGCUUUUGUACGGAACGAAAAGACUCUGGUUAAUACCUGGGGUCCAUGACGGUACCGUAAGAAUAAGCACCGGCUAACUACGUGCCAGCAGCCGCCGUAACAC